rnacentral:rRNA from 1 species
UACGGAGGGGGCAAGCGUUGUUCGGAAUUACUGGGCGUAAAGGGCUCGUAGGCGGCCAACUAAGUCGGACGUGAAAUCCCCAGGCUCAACCUGGGAACUGCGUCCGAUACUGGAUGGCUUGAAUUCGGGAGAGGGAUGCAGAAUUCCAGGUGUAGCGGUGAAAUGCGUAGAUAUCUGGAGGAAUACCGGUGGCGAAGGCGGCAUCCUGGACCGACAUUGACGCUGAGGAGCGAAAGCUAGGGGAGCAAACGGG